GACUGUAGGCUGCAACUCGCCUACACGAAGCUGGAAUCGCUAGUAAUCGCGGAUCAGCACGCCGCGGUGAAUACGUUCCCGGGCCUUGUACACACCGCCCGUCACACCAUGAGAGUCUGUAACACCCAAAGCCGGUGGGAUAACCUUUAUAGGAGUCAGCCGUCUAAGGUAGGACAGAUGAUUAGGGUGAAGUCGUAACAAGGUAUC
rnacentral:rRNA from 1 species